rnacentral:pre_miRNA from 1 species
AGUGGAAUUGCUGGAUUGUAUGUUAACUCUAUGUUUAACUUUUUGAGGAACUGCCAACUGCUUUCCAAAGUGACUGCUUCAUUUUACAUUUCCACCAGCAAU